rnacentral:sRNA from 1 species
CGGGGGAUGUGGUGGGGGAUGUGGUGGAUAAUGUAACAUUGCCAACAACAACAACAAAAAUAAGUACAAAUGUAUUGCAGUAUAAAAAAUGCCAAAAAAGAAAAACACAACAGUUAACUUGGAGUCAUAAUUAAUACAUUAUCUUACAUUGUUACUCAGUGAUAAAAGAAAUGUAUCUAUUUUUCCAAGAGUAAGUUGUUUGUUCAUACAUGACUGUGUAUUUGUACUUGAAAUGACUAAAAAGUUUGUAUUUUGUAAUAAUGUUUUAAUGUAUUUGAUUAUAAACUUUUUUUUAUAAUUUUAUAAUCUUUUUAGACUAAAAAGACAAAUUGUUUAUUUAAUGUCAGAAAAGCAUUUGGCUGUAGUGAAAUUUUAAUUAUUUUUUUUUGUUAGAGUACAACAAUGCACAAUAAAUGUUCAGUUAUAAGUCUUUAAAUGUUCAGUUAUAAGUCUUUAAAGGUACAGUUAUGAGUCUUAGUUUUAAGCAGGCCCUGCAAUGUGUUUAAAAAUUCUUGAAUCUAGAUGGUUCUGGCCUGAACAGUCAUCAGGUUAAUUGAGUCAUGUUUCUUUAUGUUAUCUUUAUGUGCGAAAUAGGACCUCAACUUUUAUAUCAACAAGAAACUUUUGUAUAAAAUUGUCUGCCCUUACUCUAACCAUAAGAGUGUUUAUGAAUAGUCUGGGGAUUUAAUCUAAUUAGAAUAGAGUUUUUUCAGAAAUAAAUAUUAAAUUUAAGUAUAUUGAAUUUGAAGAAUAAUUACUAAGCAAACUUUUAUUCAUUUUGCAAUCUAAAAUAUUUUGUUACAUCUUACAAACAAUUUAACUGAGAAACAGGGUUCUAAAGUAACUGGGUAUGUCUAUGUGCUCAUAUCUCUAUCAUAAUAACAUAGUGUUAUGUUCAUUAAUGCAAAAUAUGUAUAAAAUUAGGAAGCCCUCUGCCUCAGUACACCAAAUUAUUUUUUUAUAAAUGUCUUCUAUAUAAAAUAAAUUAAAAACAUGUAUUACACUAUACAAAUAUUACUUUCAUAAUUUUACUAGAUAUUUACAUGGUUCAGUAGGGUUAGGGUUAACAUUGAGUUUUAUUUAUAUCUCUUAGUGUACAUUUCUUGUAAGUUCAUAUUUUGUCAACAUAUUUGUUACAUUUGCAUACAAUGAAAUCUUCUUAUGAACCGAUUCACUGGAGACAAUGAAGUUCAUCAAUGACUUGAAACUUCUUAGGAAACUUUGAAUACAUGACAACCAUAAAACUCUGUGAUAUCGAUUGUGUCCCAAACUGUUUAAUUGGGUGAAAUUGUUUUAGUUUUUACAUAUCACAUUUACUUUGCUUGGAUGUAUUCAUAGAAUACUUUCGUGUUGGGUUAACAACAAAGUGCUUCAAUGCAGUUCUUGGCAUAUUUGUCAAUGUUUUCAAUAAGUGAUUCGCACAUACUGUAUUUUUUGUCAGAAAUGUUUAGUUGGCUGUAUUGUGAACUGUUUUUAAUUUUAACAUUUUUUAAUGUUUAGAUCUUUGUGUGUUGUAGUUGAGAUAAUUUUUCUUUCAAAAAUCUAGAACUUGAUGAGGAGGUUGUUAAAUAAUUUUUGUGAUUAAAAUUUAGAUUGUAAUGUGGAUCAUUUAUUUCUAUGCCCUUUUCUACACUUAGAUUAUAAUAAGUUCCUAAAUUAUGCAAAUUUGUUUUUGACGCAACGAAAAGAAUGCAGAUAUUAGUCAGAACAACAUAUCUUCUAAGUAUAUAUGUUAUAUACAUUCAACGUAGUCAUAUCUAAAUACAUAUAUUAAAUAUUUUUUUACCAUAUUUAAAAAAAUCACUCUUCACAGAAACAAUUGUUUAGAAAGAUUUAUCUAAUCCAAACAUUUUAUGUUUAUUUUAUACAUGUACUUUUUUAAUAUCUUUUUUUUCUAUUUUAAUAUAUAUCUAUAUAUAUAUAUCAUAGACCAGCUCCUACUCCCCACUUUUGUGUUGAAUUGCUCAGUGUUUACAUAACCAUAUGAACUAAUCGUGUGCUAUUGCCAAAUUUCUUUCACUAGUGAUAUUUUAUUUAUAUAUUUGUUUUUUUUUGUUAGUUGUUUUUUUAUAAAGUAUUGAGUAAAAAAAUGCAUUCUAAAUUAAACUUUAGUAAACAAACUUGAGUCAUGACAGAAGAAUGCACUUUUAAAAAUAUUGUUUAGUGCUUUAGUUUUUUUAACAAUUAUAUUUUAAAACUAAAUAAUUUUAGGUUCUGUAAAAUAAAAAUUUUACAUGAGACUAUAUAUUAAAAAAGAAAAAUAUUUUUGUUUUGGGCUAGAUUAAACACAGACUAUGUUUGUGUUAGUUUGAAAACAAAGGGGUUAUAAUCGUGCUAAGCUAAAAAAUGAAUUGAUCAAUAUGAAAUUUUAAAGAAUAACUAAAUUGUUCAGUUUGUUAUGCAUGUAGCUACAAUUCAUAAAUCUACUGUGUUGUUGCAUUGCUAUAAAGAUGUCUAAUGGUUGGCAGGGCUGCAAUGUUUCACAAGUGACUGCAAGUUAAGAAACAAAAGAGAAAUUGUCACUCAUUGACUUGAUACAAAUUGUUGUGUCAACUUUGGAUAGUUUAAAAUAUUUCAAUUUGAAUACAAUAUUUUAACUUCCAGAUUGAUCACUUAUUAUCUUUGUGAUUUUACACCAAAUAUAAAUCUGAAAUUUUCCCCAUUGUUUUUUAACAAAAUUUUGCCAAUCUUUAUAAUCUUAACAUUAAUUGUCUUUUAUUCUGAGAGAAUUUGAGGGAAGUCUUCUAGUCUAUUUUUAUCAUUACUUAUUAAAUUAUAUAUUUGUAUCUUUAUAUUCAUAUUUUUCCAAUCUUCUAACAGAUUUAUUGUAACUAAAACUGAGUUAGUAACAUUGGGGUUGUCCAUUCUGUUUGCUUGGCUAGUGUCCUUCAGUUUGUCUACUCUUUCUUUGAGCCAGUUCCAUCCAUGACUAGAUAAGUUUGCAUUUACUUCUACAUUCUCAUUUAUCCAUUACAUUUAGUAUUAUCUUUACAGCAACAGUUUAUGUUUCUUUUGUGUGUGCUCAUUGCUUGGUCCAUGUACUAGACUUGUCCAUAUUAAAAUAACAUUUAUAGACAUUGA